rnacentral:tRNA from 1 species
GCUCCGAUCGUCUAGUCCGGUCAAGGACGCGGUCCUCUCAAGGCCGAGACCCGGGUCCAAAUCCCGGUCGGAGCA